UACGAGGGAGGCUAGCGUUGCUCGGAAUCAUUGGGCGUAAAGAGCGUGUAGGCGGUCCGGUAAGUCCGUUGUGAAAGUCAGGGGCUCAACCCUUGAAUGCCGGCGGAUACUGUCGGGCUAGAGUCCGGAAGAGGCGAGUGGAAUUCCUGGUGUAGCGGUGAAAUGCGCAGAUAUCAGGAAGAACACCAACGGCGAAGGCAGCUCGCUGGGACGGUACUGACGCUGAGACGCGAAAGCGUGGGGAGCGAACAGG
rnacentral:rRNA from 1 species